rnacentral:rRNA from 1 species
GACGAACGCUGGCGGCGUGCUUAACACAUGCAAGUCGAACGGAAAGGCCCUGCUUUUGUGUGGUGCUCGAGUGGCGAACGGGUGAGUAACACGUGAAUAACCUGCGCUGGACUGGGGGAUAACUGCAGGAAACUGGGGAUAAUGCCGGCGAGGAGCUCCUGCAGCAUGGGGGGGGUUGGAAAGUUUCGGCGGGGGGGGAUGGACUCCGGGCUGAUCAGCUUGUUGGGGGGGUAGUGGCAUAGCAGGGGAUUGGUGGGUAGCCGGCCUGAGAGGGUAACCGGCCACAAUGGGACUGAGAUAGGGACCAGACUCCUAUGGUAGGCAGCAGUGGGGAAUAUUGUACAAUGGGGGGAAGCCUGAUGCAGCAAUGCCGCGUGUGUGAUGACGGCCUUCGUGGUGUAAACCGCUGUCGGCUGUGACGAAGCGUGAGUGACGGUAACGGGUAAAGAAGCACCGGCUAACUACGUG